AUUGGAUAUCAACAGCUUUUUGGAUAUGCACAAACAUCACAAUGGCAACCUUUCUCAAGAAGGUGGUUGAAGGAAUGAAAGAGGAAGACUGUCUACCACACUCCCAA